rnacentral:rRNA from 1 species
GAUCCUGGCUCAGGAUGAACGCUAGCUACAGGCUUAACACAUGCAAGUCGAGGGGAAGCGACAUCGAAAGCUUGCUUUUGAUGGGCGUCGACCGGCGCACGGGUGAGUAACGCGUAUCCAACCUGCCCACCACUUGGGGAUAACCUUGCGAAAGUAAGACUAAUACCCAAUGAUAUCCCACGAAGGCAUCGGAAUGGGAUUAAAGAUUUAUCGGUGAUGGAUGGGGAUGCGUCUGAUUAGCUUGUUGGCGGGGUAACGGCCCACCAAGGCUACGAUCAGUAGGGGUUCUGAGAGGAAGGUCCCCCACAUUGGAACUGAGACACGGUCCAAACUCCUACGGGAGGCAGCAGUGAGGAAUAUUGGUCAAUGGGCGAGAGCCUGAACCAGCCAAGUAGCGUGCAGGAUGACGGCCCUAUGGGUUGUAAACUGCUUUUAUAAGGGAAUAAAGUGAGCCUCGUGAGGCUUUUUGCAUGUACCUUAUGAAUAAGGACCGGCUAAUUCCGUG